rnacentral:rRNA from 1 species
UACGUAGGGGGCAAGCGUUAUCCGGAUUUACUGGGUGUAAAGGGAGCGCAGGCGGUGGGAUAAGUCUGAAGUGAAAACCCGGAGCUCAACUGCGGGAUUGCUUUGGAAACUGUUUCACUAGAGUAUCGGAGAGGCAAGUGGAAUUCCUAGUGUAGCGGUGAAAUGCGUAGAUAUUAGGAGGAACACCAGCGGCGAAGGCGGCUUGCUGGACGAAGACUGACGCUGAGGCUCGAAAGCGUGGGGAGCAAAC